rnacentral:rRNA from 1 species
AUACGUAGGUGACAAGCGUUAUCCGGAUUUACUGGGCGUAAAGGGCGUGUAGGCGGUCUUGCAAGUCAGAAGUGAAAUUCCUGAGCUCAACUCGGGCGCUGCUUCUGAAACUGCAGGACUUGAGUGCUGGAGGGGAUAGCGGAAUUCCUAGUGGAGCGGUAAAAUGCGCAGAUAUUAGGAAGAACACCGGUGGCGAAGGCGGCUAUCUGGACAGUAACUGACGCUGAGGCGCGAAAGCGUGGGGAGCAAACAGGAUUAGAGACCCUGGUAGUCCACGCCGUAAACGAUGAGUGCUAGGUGUCGGGGGUCAAACCUCGGUGCCGCAGUUAACACAUUAAGCACUCCGCCUGGGGAGUACGGCCGCAAGGCUGAAACUCAAAUGAAUUGGCGGGG